CCUACGGGAGGCAGCAGUGGGGGAUAUUGCACAAUGGGGGAAACCCUGAUGCAGCGACGCCGCGUGAGUGAAGAAGUAUUUCGGUAUGUAAAGCUCUAUCAGCAGGGAAGAAAAUGACAGUACCUGACCAAGAAGCCCCGGCUAACUACGUGCCAGCAGCCGCGGUAAUACGUAGGGGGCAAGCGUUAUCCGGAUUUACUGGGUGUAAAGGGAGCGUAGGCGGCGAUGCAAGUCAGAAGUGAAAGCCCGGGGCUCAACUCCGGGACUGCUUUUGAAACUGUAUGGCUAGAUUGCAGGAGAGGCAAGUGGAAUUCCUAGUGUAGCGGUGAAAUGCGUAGAUAUUAGGAGGAACACCAGUGGCGAAGGCGGAUUGCUGGACAGUAACUGACGCUGAGGCGCGAAAGCGUGGGGAGCAAACAGGAUUAGAUACCCGGGUAGUC
rnacentral:rRNA from 1 species